rnacentral:rRNA from 1 species
UACGAAGGGGGCUAGCGUUGCUCGGAAUCACUGGGCGUAAAGCGCACGUAGGCGGGUUGUUAAGUCGGGGGUGAAAUCCUGGAGCUCAACUCCAGAACUGCCUUCGAUACUGCGGUGCUUGAGGACUGGAGAGGAGACUGGAAUUCAUGGUGUAGCAGUGAAAUGCGUAGAGAUCAUGAGGAAGACCAGUGGCGAAGGCGGGUCUCUGGACAGUUCCUGACGCUGAGGUGCGAAAGCGUGGGGAGCAAACAGG